GCCGAGUCUGUGUCGGCCCCGUCGUGGGGGACCCGGUGGAGCCGUCACCGAGAUAUACCAUCUGUUUGCUCCUGCCCUCUGGCAUCACGCCCUGUGUGAGAGGAUGCGGCUGCCAGUGAGUGAGGCCUUUCCAUGCCCAGACCUGAGACCCCGAGGGGAACGUGCCGUCGCAGCACAAAGUCCUCUGUAUCCCGCCUUCAGAGUCUCCAGCGUCAUUGCUGUGUGAGGUCUGCGACUGCACGCAGCACUACUAAGAAGAUGUUAUUCACUUCUAAAAUGGAUGAAUUAUCAUUAUUCUGUGUGAGGAGACUAUCUUCUGUAGGGUUUAUGGCUCUUGCCAUAAAUCUUCAAUGUACAAAGACCUCUAUAAUAUAUCUUACAAUAAGGGGUACUUCUUUGUGACAAUAUCAAAUGUUAAUUUGAUUAACAUUCAUUUUAUUUGAGUACAUACUAUGAUUUUUGAUACCUUGUAAUGGCACUGGUUCUGAAAGUAAUCAAAUGUUUUGGGUGAAUUUGAGGAGUUUACAUGAUACUUAUGGUUUCCUCAGUUUAAUGUUUAUUUUACCAUUAUUUUGUCACUGGGAUAAAGAAUAAGGGUGUUUCGGCUCAGUUUCAUGCAAAGACUUCACUUUUAAACAUUAUUUUGCCUAAAAUUAGCAUAAUGAUGCUUUCUAAAGAAAUGUUUUGUAGACCGU